rnacentral:rRNA from 1 species
GUUGAACGCUGGCGGCGUGCUUAACACAUGCAAGUCGUGCGGUAACAGGCGUAGCAAUACGUGCUGACGAGCGGCGAACGGGUGCGUAAUACAUGGGAAUCUGCCCUUUAGUGGGGAAUAACCCGGCGAAAGCCGGGCUAAUGCCGCAUAAGAUCUUCGGAUGAAAGCGGGGGAUCGUAAGACCUCGCGCUGAUGGAUGAGCCCAUGUCGGAUUAGCAGUUGGUGAGGUAACGGCUCACCAAGGCGACGAUCCGUAGCUGGUCUGA